GAUGAUGUGGAGUGUUAAAAGUA
rnacentral:siRNA from 1 species